UCUGGUUAGUGGGCCCCAGCUGUUCCACAUAGUAUUGCAUAAUACAGCAGGCUGAGUUAACUAUAGAUUAAUGAUUAUGAAAUGUCUUGCUUAACCAUAUAAUUUUUCAAACAUACAAGGGAUUGGACAAAAUGUGGUUCACUGAGGUAACAAGAUGACUACUUUCAGGAGUGGAAAAGGCUUAAGAGUCUGAAGGGUGAUGGCUCACUGCUGGAAGCAUUCCUCUGUUUUCAUUACCAAGCAACAGUGCAAGAAGCCAACAGUAUCAUUUGAGGAUUAUUGUGCUCUCUUCUGAAGCUAAGAUUAGUGCGAGGCUGCAUAAAACUGAGGACUGCUACGUCAUCUGAACUCCUGCUGCUGCCCUACAAACUCGACAGCAGUUGAGCAACAAGAGAUAUACCAACUGGUGAAAGAAGAUGAAGCAUGAAUAUAUGCAAAAUGUACAUGUAAUGGCACACCUGAUUUUCACAUGCCGCAGAGAAAUUAUAUGCUGAAUGACUGGACUUAAAAUGGUUCAAAAUCCUGAAGAAUUCUCACUACAAGAACA